rnacentral:rRNA from 1 species
UGCCAGCCGCCGCGGUAAUACGGAGGAUCCAAGCGUUAUCCGGAUUUAUUGGGUUUAAAGGGUCCGUAGGCGGAAAAUUAAGUCAGUGGUGAGAUCCUACAGCUUAACUGUAGAACUGCCAUUGAUACUGGUUUUCUUGAGUACAAAUGAGGUGAGUGGAAUGUGGCGUGUAGCGGUGAAAUGCAUAGAUAUGCCACAGAACACCAAUUGCGAAGGCAGCUCACUAACAUGUAACUGACGCUGAGGGACGAAAGCGUGGGGAGCGAACGGGAUUAGAUA